rnacentral:tRNA from 1 species
GCGCCCGUAACUCAGCCCGGAUAGAGUGUUGGCCUUCGAAGCCAAAAGUCACAGGUUCAAAUCCUGUCGGGCGCGCCA